rnacentral:rRNA from 1 species
GACGAACGCUGGCGGCGUGCCUAAUACAUGCAAGUGGGACGCAAGGGAACACACUGUGCUUGCACACCGUGUUUUCUUGAGUCGCGAACGGGUGAGUAACGCGUAGGUAACCUGCCUAUUAGCGGGGGAUAACUAUUGGAAACGAUAGCUAAUACCGCAUAAUAUUAAUUAUUGCAUGAUAAUUGAUUGAAAGAUGCAAGCGCAUCACUAGUAGAUGGACCUGCGUUGUAUUAGCUAGUUGGUAAGGUAAGAGCUUACCAAGGCGACGAUACAUAGCCGACCUGAGAGGGUGAUCGGCCACACUGGGACUGAGACACGGCCCAGACUCCUACGGGAGGCAGCAGUAGGGAAUCUUCGGCAAUGGACGAAAGUCUGACCGAGCAACGCCGCGUGAGUGAAGAAGGUUUUCGGAUCGUAAAGCUCUGUUGUAAGUCAAGAACGUGUGUGAGAGUGGAAAGUUCACACAGUGAC